CCUACGGGGAGCAGCAGUGGGGAAUAUUGGACAAUGGGCGAAAGCCUGAUCCAGCCAUGCCGCGUGUGUGAAGAAGGCCUUCGGGUUGUAAAGCACUUUCAGUGGGGAAGAAAGCCUUGGGGCUAAUACCCUCGAGGAAGGACAUCACCCACAGAAGAAGCACCGGCUAACUCCGUGCCAGCAGCCGCGGUAAUACGGAGGGUGCGAGCGUUAAUCGGAAUUACUGGGCGUAAAGCGCGCGUAGGCGGUCUGAUAAGCCGGUUGUGAAAGCCCCGGGCUCAACCUGGGAACGGCAUCCGGAACUGUCAGGCUAGAGUGCAGGAGAGGAAGGUAGAAUUCCCGGUGUAGCGGUGAAAUGCGUAGAGAUCGGGAGGAAUACCAGUGGCGAAGGCGGCCUUCUGGACUGACACUGACGCUGAGGUGCGAAAGCGUGGGUAGCAAACAGGAUUAGCUACCCUUGUAGUC
rnacentral:rRNA from 1 species